rnacentral:rRNA from 1 species
CCUACGGGAGGCUGCAGUGAGGAAUAUUGGUCAAUGGCCGGAAGGCUGAACCAGCCAUGCCGCGUGAAGGUCAGUGCCCUAUGGGCGUUAAACUUCUUUUGUGCGGGAGCAAGAAUGGUCACGUGUGGCCAGACGAGAGGACCGUACGAAGAAGCAGCGGCUAACUCCGGGCCAGCAGCCGCGGGAAUACGGGGGAUGCAAGCGUUUUCCGGCUUUAUUGGGUUUAAAGGGGGCGUAGGCUGUGAGGUAAGUCAGCGGGGCAAGGCCCCCGCUCAACGGGGGGAAGUGCCAUUGAUACUGCCUUGCUGGACUGCGGCUGCCGUGGGCGGCAUGUGUGGUGUAGCGGU